rnacentral:rRNA from 1 species
AUUGAACGCUGGCGGCAGGCCUAACACAUGCAAGUCGAACGAGUGGCGGACGGGUGAGUAAUGUCUGGGAAACUGCCUGAUGGAGGGGGAUAACUACUGGAAACGGUAGCUAAUACCGCAUACCAUCGGAUGAGCCCAGAUGGGAUUAGCUAGUAGGUGGGGUAAAGGCUCACCUAGGCGACGAUCCCUAGCUGGUCUGAGAGGAUGACAGGCAAAACUGGAACUGGAAAACGGUCCAGACUCCUAGGGAGGGCAGCAGGGGGGAAUAUGGCACAGUGGGGGAAAGCCUGAGGCAGCCAUGCCGGGUGUAUGAAGAAGGCCUGCGGGUUGAAAAGUACUUUCAGCGGGGAGGCGUUACCCGCAGAAGAAGCACCGGCUAACUCCGUGCCAGCAGCCGCGGUAAAC